AAUAAAUUUAAUUUUGGUUUAAUUAAUUUUUCUUAGCAGGAACAUUAAAAAAUUUUUUGAUAAUUGAAUUAGGUAUUAUGUUUAGUUCUAAUUAAUAAUUUAGAUGUGAAUUUUUUAAAAUAAUUAAUUUAAAAAUUAGAUAAAGAUGUAAGAAAUAGAAAAAGCUUAUUAGAGUGCCAGCAGCUGCGGUUAUACUCAGUUUUGAGAAUUAAGAAGUAAGAAAAAAAAUAAAUAAAAAAAAUAAUUAAAUUUUUGGUAAUAAUUGUAAAGUUUAUUAUUAAUUUUUGAAUAAUUUAAGGAUUAUAAGAUUUAUAUAAACCUGUUGGUAAUAAUAAUUAUAAAAACUUUGAAUUUUUGUCCUAUAAUAAAAUAAAAAGAUUUGGCAGUUAAUUUAAAUUUUUUGGGGAGUGUGUUAAGUAAAGAGAAUACACACUUAAUAAUUUGCUAAUUUUGUUUAAAGGUUAGUGUACGGUUGUUAAAAGAUUACUUAUAAAAUGAGAAACUAGUCUAAAAACAAAUCAUUGUGCUGCUUUUAAGUUAGACAUUUAAUUCACUACAUUUAUUUAAGAAAUUUGUGAAAAAUAAUUCAGUUUCUUAGUAAGGACUAAAAAGUAAAAGAUUAAAUGAAUAAGUUUCUUUGAAGUUUUUAAUAAAUUUAGGGUACACAUUGCCCGUCAAUCUUUUUUGAAAGAUAAGUCGUAACAUGGUAAAUUUAGCUGAAGCUGAAUUUUUUUUAAU
rnacentral:rRNA from 1 species